GUGGGGAAUAUUGCGCAAUGGGGGAAACCCUGACGCAGCGACGCCGCGUGCGGGAUGAAGGCCUUCGGGUUGUAAACCGCUUUCAGCAGGGACGAAGCGAGAGUGACGGUACCUGCAGAAGAAGCGCCGGCUAACUACGUGCCAGCAGCCGCGGUAAUACGUAGGGCGCAAGCGUUGUCCGGAAUUAUUGGGCGUAAAGAGCUCGUAGGCGGCUUGUCACGUCUGCUGUGAAAUCCCGGGGCUUAACCCCGGGUCUGCAGUGGAUACGGGCUGGCUAGAGGCAGGCAGGGGAGAACGGAAUUCCCGGUGUAGCGGUGAAAUGCGCAGAUAUCGGGAGGAACACCGGUGGCGAAGGCGGUUCUCUGGGCCUGUACUGACGCUGAGGAGCGAAAGCGUGGGGAGCGAACAGG
rnacentral:rRNA from 1 species